CAGAAAUGGAGUGCUCAAGUGAAAAUUUUAGCAGAGUUUCGAGAUAGAGUUUAGAGCUUAGAGAAGAACAUAACUGGGGGUCCCUUUUUAUAGACGGAGAGCAUAACUGAUUGACAGCGACGUCUGUAACCACCUGGUAGUGGGCUGUUCAGAGCCAUGUGGAGUUUGUUACGGAGAGUGGUGGCAUCAGGGGCCGUUCAGGGCCACAUGGAGUUUGUUACGGAGAGUGGAGUGGUGUCCGUUGUUGCGACUUGCCAGAGAGUGGUGGAGCCACGCAGAAUCCAUUG
rnacentral:lncRNA from 1 species